rnacentral:rRNA from 1 species
AGUGAACGCUGGCGGUAGGCCUAACACAUGCAAGUCGAACGGCAGCACAGUAAGAGCUUGCUCUUACGGGUGGCGAGUGGCGGACGGGUGAGGAAUACAUCGGAAUCUACUUUUUCGUGGGGGAUAACGUAGGGAAACUUACGCUAAUACCGCAUACGACCUACGGGUGAAAGCAGGGGAUCUUCGGACCUUGCGCGAUUGAAUUAGCCGAUGUCGGAUUAGCUAGUUGGCGGGGUAAAGGCCCACCAAGGCGACGAUCCGUAGCUGGUCUGAGAGGAUGAUCAGCCACACUGGAACUGAGACACGGUCCAGACUCCUACGGGAGGCAGCAGUGGGGAAUAUUGGACAAUGGGCGCAAGCCUGAUCCAGCCAUACCGCGUGGGUGAAGAAGGCCUUCGGGUUGUAAAGCCCUUUUGUUGGGAAAGAAAAGAAGCAGGUUAAUACCCCGAUGUUCUGACGGUACCCAAAGAAUAAGCACCGGCUAACUUCGUG